rnacentral:rRNA from 1 species
UAGGGAAUAUUAGAAAUGGACGAAAGUCUGAUCUAGCAACACCGCGUGUGCGAAGAAGGCCUUCGGGUCGUAAAGCACUUUUUGGAAGGAAUAGGAAGGAAUGUACUUCCAGAAUAAGUCUCGGCUAACUACGUGCCAGCAGCCGCGGUAACACGUAGGAGGCAAACGUUAUCCGGAUUUACUGGGCGUAAAGCGCGUGUAGGUGGUACUGUAAGUAGGGCGUGAAAGCUCCUGGCUCAACUGGGAGAGGCCGUUCUAAACUACAGAACUAGAGGAUGGUAGAGGGAGGUGGAAUUCCAGGUGUAGCGGUGGGAUGCGCAGAUAUCUGGAGGAACACCGGUGGCGAAGGCGGCCUCCUGGACCAUGCCUGACACUCAGACGCGAAAGCGAGGGUGGCAAACG